rnacentral:miRNA from 1 species
CACGGGUUUCAGCAGUUCUACGUGAAACUGAAGGACAAAGAGAAGAACCAGAAGAUCUUUGACUUUCUAGAUGUCCUUGAGUUCAACCAGGU